rnacentral:rRNA from 1 species
UGGGGAAUAUUGUACAAUGGGGGAAACCCUGAUGCAGCGACGCCGCGUGAGCGAAGAAGGUUUUCGAAUCGUAAAGCUCUGUCCUAUGGGAAGAUAAUGACGGUACCAUAGGAGGAAGCCCCGGCUAACUACGUGCCAGCAGCCGCGGUAAUACGUAGGGGGCAAGCGUUGUCCGGAAUCACUGGGCGUAAAGGGUUCGCAGGCGGAAAUGCAAGUCAGUUGUGAAAGGCAGAGGCUCAACCUCUGUAAGCAAUUGAAACUGUAUUUCUUGAGAUGUGGAGAGGCAAGUGGAAUUCCUAGUGUAGCGGUGAAAUGCGUAGAUAUUAGGAAGAAUACCGGUGGCGAAGGCGACUUGCUGGACACAAACUGACGCUGAGGAACGAAAGCGUGGGUAGCAAACAGG